GGAGGGGCGGGGGCAAGGAGGCGGCAGCCAGGCUGUGUCUCCUGACCGUUGGAGCGCCUGCGACCCCCGCAUCCCCGCACCCUCAAGGCACCUCCAAAGAUGAUGAUGGGUUGUGGGGAGUCAGAGCUGAAGUCGGCGGACGGGGAAGAAGCCGCGGCGGUCCUGGGGCCACCCCCGGAGCCCCAAGUCCCGCAACUCCGAGCCCCAGUGCCCGAGCCCGGCCUGGACUUGAGCCUGAGCCCGCGGCCCGACAGCCCUCAGCCGCGGCACGGCAGCCCCGGGCGGCGGAAGGGGCGGGCGGAGCGGCGGGGCGCGGCUCGGCAGCGGCGGCAGGUGAGCGGGGGAGGCUGGCCCCCGGCCCGCGACGGCCUCGCGCCCACCUGGUCACUGCCCUGCCUUCUGCUCCCAGGUCCGCUUCCGCCUGACGCCGCCCUCCCCGGUGCGGUCCGAGCCGCAGCCUGCGGUGCCGCAGGAGCUGGAGAUGCCCGUGCUGAAGAGCAGCCUGGCCUUGGGCCUGGAGCUGCGGGCCGCAGCCGGGAGCCACUUUGAUGCUGCGAAGGCCGUGGAGGAACAGCUGAGAAAGUCGUUCCAGAUCCGCUGCGGCCUGGAGGAGAGCGUGUCCGAGGGUGAGGGGGGCGGGCGGCCGGCCGCGUGCGGGAGUCGGGGUGAGGCGCGCCACUCACCUCCGUCCCCGCUGCGCUCUCAGGGCUGAACGUGCCGCGCUCCAAGCGGCUCUUCCGGGACCUGGUGAGCCUGCAGGUGCCGGAGGAACAGGUUCUGAAUGCCGCGCUCAGGGAGAAAUUGGCUCUCCUGCCGCCACAGGCUCGAGCCCCGCACCCAAAGGAGCCACCUGGGCCGGGGCCAGACAUGACCAUCUUGUGUGACCCAGAAACACUAUUUUAUGAAUCUCCACACCUGACCCUGGACGGUCUGCCCCCUCUCCGACUUCAACUCCGGCCCCGCCCUUCAGAGGACACCUUCCUCAUGCACCGGACACUGAGGCGAUGGGAAGCGUAGA
rnacentral:sRNA from 1 species